CCUUAGUAACGGCGAGUGAAGCGGCAAUAGCUCAAAUUUGAAAGCUGGCCCCUUCGGGGUCCGCGUUGUAAUUUGUAGAGGAUGAUUCGGCGAGGGCUCCCGUCUAAGUCCCUUGGAACAGGGCGUCAUAGAGGGUGAGAAUCCCGUAUGUGAUGGGCUGCCUUAGCCAUGUGAAUCUCCUUCGACGAGUCGAGUUGUUUGGGAAUGCAGCUCUAAAUGGGAGGUAAAUUUCUUCUAAAGCUAAAUACCGGCCAGAGACCGAUAGCGCACAAGUAGAGUGAUCGAAAGAUGAAAAGCACUUUGGAAAGAGAGUUAAAAAGUACGUGAAAUUGUUGAAAGGGAAGCGCUUGCAGCCAGACUUGUCCGCAGUUGCUCAGCUUGUCUCCUGACAGGCGUACUCUUCUGCGGCCAGGCCAGCAUCAGUUCGGGCGGUCGGAUAAAGACCUAGGGAAUGUAGCUCCUCUCGGGGAGUGUUAUAGCCCUGGGUGCAAUGCGGCCAGCCUGGACUGAGGAUCUCGCUUCGGCUAGGAUGCUGGCGUAAUGGCUGUAAGCGGCCCGUCUUGAAACACGG
rnacentral:rRNA from 1 species